rnacentral:rRNA from 1 species
UCGAGAAUUUUUCACAAUGGGCGAAAGCCUGAUGGAGCGACGCCGCGUGGGGGAUGAAUGGCUUCGGCCCGUAAACCCCUGUCAUUCGCGAACAAUGCCUGCGGUUUAAUACAUCGCAGGUUGAUAGUAGCGGAAGAGGAAGGGACGGCUAACUCUGUGCCAGCAGCCGCGGUAAUACAGAGGUCCCAAGCGUUGUUCGGAUUCACUGGGCGUAAAGGGUGCGUAGGCGGUCGGAUAAGUCUGAUGUGAAAUCUUCGAGCUCAACUCGAAAAUGGCAUUGGAAACGAUUCGGCUUGAGGUCUGGAGGGGGGACUGGAAUUCUCGGUGUAGCAGUGAAAUGCGUAGAUAUCGAGAGGAACACCAGUGGCGAAGGCGAGUCCCUGGACAGGUCCUGACGCUGAGGCACGAAAGCUAGGGGAGCAAACA